AACGAACGCUGGCGGCACGCCUAACACAUGCAAGUCGAACGAAGCAUAAGAGCUUGCUCUUAUGACUGAGUGGCAAACGGGUGAGUAACGCGUGGGAAUCUGCCUGUUGGUGGGGGAUAACUGUUGGAAACGACAGCUAAUACCGCAUAAGCCCGAGAGGGGAAAGAUUUAUUGCCAACAGAGGAGCCCGCGUUAGAUUAGGUAGUUGGUGGGGUAAAAGACCUACCAAGCCGAUGAUCUAUAGCUGGUCUGAGAGGAUGGACAGCCACACUGGGACUGAGACACGGCCCAGACUCCUACGGGAGGCAGCAGUGGGGGAAUAUUGGACAAUGGGGGAAACCCUGAUCCAGCGAUGCCGCGUGAGUGAAGAAGGGCCUCGGUU
rnacentral:rRNA from 1 species